AGAAAGCUUCUCCCCGGAACCCAUGUACACGCGCUUCCCGGUGUCCGGGCGUGAUUGGACGCUGCGCCGCGGGGGAGGCGGGGCCAGUUGCCUAGACGACGUCUGCGAAGAUGGCUGCUGCGUCUUCACCCGAUUCCGACAGCGGCCUAGCUGAGAGCAACGAGGCCAAUUCGAAAUGGCUGGACGCGCACUACGACCCCAUGGCCAACAUCCAUACCUUUUCCGCCUGCCUGGCCCUAGCAGAUUUGCACGGGGACGGAGAGUACAAGCUGGUGGUGGGAGAUCUUGGCCCUGCUGGGAAGCAUCCCCGUCUGAAGGUGCUCAAAGGACCAACAGUGCUGGCAGAAAACCCAUUGCCUGCUCUGCCAGCUGCUGCUGCUGCCUUCCUCAUGGAGGAACAACACGAGACCCGGACUCCAGCUCUGGCACUUGCUUCAGGCCCUUGUGUCUAUAUAUAUAAGAAUCUUAGGCCCUACUUCAAGUUCAGUCUUCCCCCUUUAUCUUUAAACCCUCUGGAACAAGACCUUUGGAACCAAGCUAAGGAGGACCGGAUAGACCCCUUGACCUUGAAAGAGAUGCUGGAGGGCAUCCGGGAGAAGGCAGAGGUGCCUUUGUCUGUACAGUCACUCAGGUUUCUACAUCUAGAGCUGAGUGAAAUGGAGGCAUUUGUGAACCAACACAAGUCCAAGACCAUCAAGCGGCAGACAGUCAUCACCACCAUGAUCACCUUGAAGAAAAACCUGGCCGAUGAGGAUGCCGUGUCAUGCCUGGUGCUGGGCACUGAGAACAAAGAGAUCCUAGUACUGGACCCUGAAGCCUUCACCAUUUUGGCCAAGAUGAAUCUUCCCAGCGUCCCAGUCUUCCUGGAGGUUUCUGGCCAGUUUGACGUAGAGUUCCGGCUUGCAGCUGCCUGUCGAAAUGGGAACAUCUAUAUCCUGAGAAGAGACUCCAAGCGCCCCAAGUACUGCAUUGAGCUGAGUUCCCAGCCUGUGGGGCUUGUCCGGGUACACAAGAUCCUGGUGGUGGGCAGCACCCAAGAUAGUCUACACGGCUUUACUCACAAGGGUAAGAAAUUGUGGACUGUGCAGAUGCCUGCCGCCAUCCUGACCAUGAACCUCCUAGAGCAGCGUUCCCGGGGUCUGCAGGCUGUCAUGGCAGGGCUGGCCAAUGGAGAGGUCCGUAUUUACCGUGACAAGGCUCUGCUCAACAUCAUCCGCACCCCGGAUGCAGUGACCAGCCUUUGUUUUGGCCGCUAUGGGCGGGAGGACAACACCCUUGUCAUGACUACUCGAGGUGGUGGCCUGAUAAUUAAGAUCCUGAAGCGCACAGCAGUGUUUGUGGAGAGCACAGGCGAGGUGGGCCCCCCACCAGCCCAAGCCACAAAACUUAAUGUGCCCCGAAAGACUCGGCUCUACGUGGAUCAGACACUGAGAGAACGGGAGGCUGGCACUGCCUCUGCAGGUCCUGCCCACUGCAUCUAUCUCACACCCUCCCCACAGCAGCCUCCCUCCAGCCUCAGCCUUCAUAUCCUCUUCAUAGCCAUGCACCGGAGCUUCCAGACAGACCUCUACCUGCUGCGCCUCCGGGCAGCCCGCGCCUACGUGCAGGCCCUUGAGUCCAGCCUGAGCCCCGUGUCGGCCACAGCCUGGGAACCACUCAAGCUGCAUGCUGUGGUCCAGGGCCUGGGGCCCACCUUCAAGCUCACACUUCAUCUGCAGAACACCUCAACAGUCCGCCCUGUGACAGGGCUGCUGAUCUGCUUCCUGUACAACGAGGCACUCUAUGCCCUGCCUCGGGCCUUCUUCAAGGUCCCCUUGCUGGUGCCAGGGCUCAGCUACCCGCUGGAGACCUUUGUGGAGAGUCUCAGUAACAAGGGCAUCUCAGACAUCAUCAAGGUACUGGUGCUCCGGGAAGGCCAGAGUGCACCCCUGCUGAGUGCCUACAUCAACAUGCCUGUGAGUGAGGGGCUGGAAGCUGCCUGAGCCCUGGGCCAGUGUUCAGGCUCCUGCCGAAUGGAGUCAGCAAGAUCCAUCAGCCACUUUCACUGAGCUGGGCGGGUUGGGCCACUCCCCAUGCAGCAGUGUGCUGAGGCGCCAGCUUCUCACUCCUCUCCUGAGCACCCCCUGCUCAACACUCCUGCCAUGGGGCUAUAGCAGCAGCCAGUGAGUAUAAGAAGGCCUGGCUCCUCUCUCAGAACAUGCCCUGGUAUUGUUCCAGAGGCAGCUUCUGCUGCCCACUGCCUCCCAAUACUUCCCAGAAACCUCACUCAGUCCCAAGGAAGAGUUCUGAGCUGUCGAGAUGAAAAAAGGACACUGACUGUUUUUCUUUUCCACUUCCUUCUGGCACCCCACUCACCUCCUGCAGCAGGCCAAGGCCAGAAUUGGAUGAGAGCCUGGCCUGAGAAGUCAGAGGCUUUUCUUGGGUGAGACUGAGCCCCCUGUCAGCCUGGGGUUCCACUUUCUGUUCAGCAACCCACCGAAGGAAUAGCCAUCUCCCCAUAGGGCACCUUUACAAACGCUUGGACCCUGCCACCACCUCAGGGCUCCAAGAACCCCACCAGCAGGUUGCCAGAGGAAGAAGUGGCACAGGAGGGCAGAGGGUGCCCAUGUGCACUCCCAGAGACCACACAGCAUCUGCUUCUGACCUGGGUGCUCCUGCUCAGAAAGAGCAUCUGUGGAAAGGAAAGUGGAAUUAGGUAGAGCAGAGGCAGGCAGCACCAGAAGAGGCAUUUCUGGGAUUAGGGGAAGGGCUGGGGAGACAGAAGCCCUAAAGUGCCCAUCAGACUGCCCUUCUGUGCCUGGGAGUCCAAAUCAGCCCUGAGGGUGGAAAGUUCCCUGGGCAGCAGCCAGAGCAAGAGAAUUGGCUGGCACAGAAGUGAGGCUGGAGAUUAAGCAAAGGCUCAAUUUAGAUCUAAAUGCUCAGAACCCUCAAGCCCCUCAUGCCUGCUGAGUCCCUGGGCAGUCUUGCCAGUGCUCCUCACAGGCCACAGGAGUCACCUGGGAGCCAGCAGCCUUGCUCUUGGGAACCUACAUCUUUCCCCUUCUGACCAGGUGUGGCCACAGCUCAGGCUUGCAGGAAGUAACAAGAUUCCUCUGUGUUUCUGGUCUCCCCUCAUGUAAAAUGAGGCAGUUUCUGAACUGUUUUUAGCUCUGACACCCCAUGGGCUUUGCACCGCCUCUGGCAGAAAGGAGGAGUUGGCCCAGAAAAGUGAUAUUGGACAGGAACAACUGCACAGCUUUUGCCCUCAAGUCCAAGGUCUCUACCAGGCAUGGUGGCCCACACCUGUAAUCCCAGCAACUUGGGAGGCUGAGGCAGGAAGAUCACAAGUUCAAGGCCAGCCUUAGCAACUUGGUGAGACUUUGUCUCAAAAUGAUAAAGGGCUGGGGAUGUGACACAGUUUAUGCACCCUGGGUUCAAUCCUGAGUACCCCCCCCCCACAAAAAAAGAGAAGAACAAGGACUUCAAACUGGUUGCCACUGUCUGCCUCUCUGCCCAAGACACAGGGUGGACCCCGCCCUUCCAAGGAAUGCAUCUGGAGCCAGGUUAAGAGGCCACCGGUUUGGGCCAAAGAAAGAGCCUUCUCCCUUCUCCCCACUGCCCAGCAGACCACCUGGUCAGGAUGGUGAAGGGUUUCUAGAUCAAGCCAGCUGAGGCACAGUGGAAAUAGCAGAGGAGAGACCUGUUUGGCACCUGAUGUUCCAAGGCAGGCAAAGGUGCCAUGAGACCGGUAGGUCUGCACUCUGCAAGCUCAGAAAGAAGCCCAGGCUGGACAAGCAGAUCUGUGAGUAGUGAGGACCUGGGGGGUCUCCCAGGACCCCAGGAGUGGCUGGAACUGCCAGAGUAUGUGAAGUGAGAAGACGAUGUCACCAAGACCUGAAAGUGGGAGGGUCCUUGGGCAUCAGAUAAAAGAGAGCCCAAGCCAGGUGCAGCAGUGUGCCUGUAGUCCCAGGUGUCUAAGACGCUCAGGAAGGAGGAUCACUUGAACCCAAGAAUUUGAGACCAGCCUGGACAACAUAGUAAGACCCUGUCUCUAAAGAAAAAAGGGGAACCAUAAAGGAAGGUAGGAAGGCCCAAGUUGGAGGCACCAAUGAGACCAAGGGCAGAACUUGUCAAGGAUGGGGCACUCAGCAGUUUUUUAGUCUGAACAGUCUCUUAAAGCAGAAAUGAACUAGAAAAGUCCUGUGGCUUUGUGGCGACAGAGUCUGGGUCUGUGGCAGUAUCAGAGGACAGCUGGGGUCAGAAGUUAGGUCAAAGCAGUUGGAAGAAUAAGGGAAAAGCAGCUGUGAGUCUAAGGAAGUCCUUCUGGAAGGUGCAUGAGGACCAAAGAGCCCAGAGGACAUGUGGAGCAAAAGGUCUGUACAAGGUGAGAAAACCCAAAGGAAGCCAGUGGAGGGAGUGGGGUGCAGGGCAGGGAUGGGACACCAUGGAGUGGGCUCAGGGAGGUCUCUGAACAGGUAGGGCACAGGCCUGAGGAGCUAGGGGCAGUCAGACGGGCUUGAAGAGCUGAAGACAGGGCGAUUUGGGAUGUAGCAUCUGAUGUCCUGUUCUCUCUGUGAUGGCCCCGGGGACAGGAGAGCUGCAGUUGUUGGGAGAGCAGGCAUAUGAGAAAACAGGAUGGCCAGGCACAGGUACAAGCCUGUUGAGGUCAGCAGCCAUAGACAUGGUAUGGUACCAACCUGCCACAGAGGACAUGUAUCUCUGGCAACUCUCAGAAGCCAGGGCCAGGAAGGUACAGUGCAAGGACGCUGCCGUGUUGGCAGGAGACUGGUGAAAACUGAGGGCUCUAAGCUGUGCGUGGGGCAGUGAAGAGGGGAUGCAGCAGAGGGAGAGAAAGGUGACAGCCAGGAGCCAGCAGGGCCCAGAAGGUCCUGGAGCAGGAGUUACAGAGUGCAAGGGUGAGAGAUGGAGCAAAGGAGAGGAAUGGAAGGCAAAAAGGGAUGACGAUGGGUGGCUUUGGAAGUGACACAUUUGGCAUCCUGACAAGGACUGCAGUUUGGACGUGGGAAUAGGAAAAGGAAGUAAAGCAAAGGUCAAGAACCUGAGUCCUUUGCAGACCUUCAGAUGCUCUUGAUGUCAAAGGGCCCAGGGCUGACAGAGAGAUGGGGAGCUGAGGCCAAGUACUCAAUGACGAGUAGUGAAGAGAGGAGGCUGCGGAGACCACAGGGAGGAGCAACUGGAACACGGGAGUCUCAGUGGAGGCAGGGGGCAACAAGGAGGGUGUAGGAGGGCUGGUCAGGGAGCUGAUGUGGGCAGAAGAUUCUGACAGUGGACCUCUGGAGGUCCCUGGGGCGGAGCUGGGCUUGGAGUGGAUGAGGAGGCACAGCGACUUCUCAGAGUGAUCAGGAGAUUUCUAACUGCAGAGCAAGGUUACAGAGAAUCCUAAAAAGGUCAGGAAGGAUUCAGGAGAGAAAGCCCACAGCAUUCUAG